rnacentral:rRNA from 1 species
UGGGGAAUAUUGCACAAUGGAGGGAACUCUGAUGCAGCGACGCCGCGUGAACGAAGAAGGCUUUCGAGUCGUAAAGUUCUUUUAUUUGGGAAGAUAAUGACGUUACCAUAAGAAAAAGCCCCGGCUAACUACGUGCCAGCAGCCGCGGUAAUACGUAGGGGGCUAGCGUUGUCCGGAAUCACUGGGCGUAAAGGGUUCGCAGGCGGAAAUGCAAGUCAGGUGUAAAAGGCAGUAGCUUAACUACUGUAAGCAUUUGAAACUGCAAAUCUUGAGAAGAGUAGAGGUAAGUGGAAUUUUUAGUGUAGCGGUGAAAUGCGUAGAUAUUAAAAAGAAUACCGGUGGCGAAGGCGACUUACUGGGCUCAUUCUGACGCUGAGGAACGAAAGCGUGGGUAGCAAACAGG